rnacentral:lncRNA from 1 species
CCAAGUACUUGCUCUUCUGCUACUUCAUCUCUUGAAUUGUCUAAUUGAGAUCCCCAUUCUAGCGACAAUGCUUCUAGAUUCGGCUUCUCACAUAACACAGCUUCUCUUGCAUUCUUUGAAUCAUUCACAUUUUGUAAUCCUGAAAUACAUAGUUCACCACUGAGAAAUUUUAAAUUUUUCAAAUCUUCCAAACCAGAUGCAGUUUCACCACCCUUGCCCACGACGAAAUUAGAUAAUGUUUGAAGAUUCUUGAGCUCCUUCAUUCCAAAUGGCAUCUCCUUCAGUAAAAUUGCCCCUCUUAUAUCGAGAUGACGUAAAUUGAUCAACCUCCUUAUUUUCGACGGCAGCUUUAUCAAACUACUACAAUUUCUUAAAAUCAAGAUUUCCAAGUUCAACAGUGAGCAUGAUGACUCGGGUAAACUUCUUAUGUCAGUGUCAGCAAGGUUGAGGUACCUUAAAAGCCUCAAAUCUUCAAAUGGAAUAGGUAACUCGCCAAUAUAGUAUCCUUGCAAAGAUAGCACCCUCAACUUUUUGAACUUUGGCAACAAAUCAUAUAACACCAUGCUAGUUAUGUAACAAGUUAUAAUGUAAUCUGUUUUGUGUAAUGGCAAGAAUGUUCGCAGAUGUUCAAUUUCGUAGAAAACCUUGAACUUAUUUCUACCAUCCAACUCGCCACAUGCAUAAGAAGAAUGGCGGACCCUUUCAAAUCUUCUUGAUGACGAAUUGUCCUCCUCUAACCUGAAAAUGGUUUCUCCAGAAACUAGCUGAGCGAGAUCAUGGACUAGGUCGUGCAUUGCAAAUUUAGAACUGCCAAAGCCUGUUCGUUGAAAAAUUGACCUUGAAACUGGAUCAUGAAAGCACUGGCUGCCCAAAUCUUUCAGCUGCUCAUUGUUGCUUGACUGUCGAAUAAUACCCCCAGCAAUCCACAAGAAAACCAGCUCCUUCUCAUCGAAUUCAAAAUCUUUGGGAAAAAUCGCACAAUAGGCAAAACAUCUUUUCAAAUGAGACGGAAGAUGGUGGUAACUCAAUCUUAACACAGGGAGGAUGCUACUUUGACGAGGUAAAUCCCAUAUUUUGCUAUCCAAUAUGUCGUCCCACAUAUCGUACGUAGAAGGCCCCCGAGUGUUUUUGCCGCAAGGGGCAAGCCUCCACAUUUGCCAACAACUUUCUUGCGGAAUGAUUCUGAGAUUUCAAGUGCAUUAUGAUCUCUACCCUCAAAUGCGUGCGUUUUGAAAAUAGACCAGCAAUCAUCGUCUAACAGAUGCUCGAGGUUAUAAUGAUCAAUGGAUCCCAUUGUAGAUGCAACAUGUGAAUUCCGUGUGGUGAUAAUCAUCUUACUAUUUGGUGCAGCAGCCAAGAAUGGAGCUUUUAAAUCUACCCACAAGCUGUAGUCCUCGUUCCAAACAUCAUCUAAGACCAGCAAGAAUCUUUUUCCGUCCACUGCUUUUUUCAGUUGAACCUGCACUUCAUCUACAGUCUUGAGAUCACAAGUUGCCGAGGUGAUUGACUCGAGAAGCGCCUUUGAGAUGCUCAAAACAUCGAAGUCAUCGGAGACACAAACCCAUGCUUUUACAUCAAACUUACCGGAAUCUUCAACGGCCUUGUCAUUGUAGACCUCCCUAGCAAGGGUUGUUUUUCCGAUCCCACCCAUGCCGACGAUGGGUAUUACGGAAAAGUUAGCAUGAUCAGCUGCGGUAUCAGUCAAUACCAUUUCAAGUAUUUUGGUCUUAUCUUCCUCUCUCCCAAAUACGACAGGUUCUGUUGGGACACUUGAACUGGGUGGUCUUCGCUGAGCAGCAGCAGUUGAGGAAGUCCCUCCAGGAAUCAAUUGCAAUCCAAGUUCAAUUCUUUGUUUACAGAGUUCUUCCAAGCGGCUGGUGAUCUCUUUGAUCUUGGACCGCAUACUGAAGUUGAACUUCACGGUGGUAAUUGGACUGAAACAACGGAAACAUGCUGCGGGGACCAAGUUGCGGACCUUACUACUAGAGCCAGGCUGAUCAAGGCCUUCCGCCAUCAACUUGUGUUCCAAAGCUUGAGUAGCAAACUCAUCAAGAAUGUCCUCAGCAUCACAAGCCAAGUCUUGGAGAUCGUCCAACCACAUCUUCACAGCCUCGUCCGUCAGUUGCUUCUCCUCUGCAUCGCGGAGCACGGCCUGAAUCAGCUUCAGUUUUCUUUCCCACUUUCUGAGCUCUGAAGAUACCCCGCCUUGAAGUUGACGGAUAAAGUUGAACAAAUCAGGGGAAGCCAAUCUAUCAAACAGCACAUCAAGGAAAGCAGAGAGUAAGAGCUCUGCCAUGGUUUCUUUCGUUCGCCGGAGAGAAAGGAAUCGGUGUCCAAGAAAGAAGAAUAAGAAGGGAUCAAACUGGAUUGAUUGAAGAAAAAGAGAACAGGAUUUAGUGAAUGGGCAUGAAAAUGGAAAUAAAACAUCAAAAACCUGCAAAAGACUCCAAAUCAAGGACUCCAACAGCGGGCCUACAUCAAUUAAUAAUGGAAUAACACUUUCAAUGUUACUCUUGUCCAGCCGUGUGGACUCCACCAAACAGUCUUCAAGCUCUAUAAGGAUUAUAAUCUUGUUAUCAUUAUUUGAGCUUCGAUUUUUUUUUUUUUUUUUAACUACUGUCAAUUUUUAUUGAUAGCAAUACACUGUAACGCGACACUAUUUUAAACGGAAGACAUUUUUAAUCCACCCAAUUAAUAUAUGCAAUUGUGUUCAGUCAGAAAUCAGUUUUAAGUGAAAUUAUUUUUUGAUUGUGUGUGAACCCCUUGUUCUCAUUUUUUUUUCCUUUUUUUUUCUUUUGUCAUAACUUUAUCUCUCCCUUGAGCAAGUGAUUUUUAAUUAAAAAUAAAAAAUAAAAAAUAAAUCUUACUCAUACAUUUUUACUAGAUAAUAUAUAAUACAAGAUUUUUAAAAGUUUCACAUUAGAAAGGAUCUUAAUACUCAAAUUAAUGGCUAAAUUUCUCUGUUAAUAAAGACCGGAAAGUAAAGUUUACGGUUGAACUAAGUUGUAACAAAUUUAGUUUAAGUGAUUGUUUUCUAAUUUCAAAAUAAUGAUUUUGAAUCCAUUCUACAUACCCAAAGCCACUUCACUUAUGAACGAACUCUUAAAAGAAUAAAAGCAAGUUACAAUGGCCCUACAGUUUUUUGUUGAUAAGAAAGGUAGCUACUCCGAGAACUUGGCAACGACAAAAGCAGUUAUACAUAUGGGAUUUCUUAGCUUUAUUUGCUUGCCAAUAUUGACUACAUAUCCUAGAUUCUGAUCAGCGGCAGAUCCAAAAGCCCCCGCUGACCCAACCCAAAAAAAAAUAAUAAUAAUAAUAAAUAAAUAAAUUCUAAGACUAAAAGAAAAAAAAAUAUAUGGGUUUCUAAUUUACCCCCAUUAAAUCUAUUAAACCAACUCCUAUAAAUUUAUAUAAACCCAAAAAAUUUCAAGUUUAACUUUAAAAUUAUAAAAACCCACACUUUAAUUAAAAUAAUGAUAGUCCACCACCCAAAAAUAUUUUUCUAUUUCUAAAAAUAGGAUUGAUUCUUCCGGUUUAUAAAGUAACAAUAGAACAAAAAUUUUAAUAACGAAGUUCGUAAAGAAUUAUUUCUAGAAUCAAAUGGAAUAAAUGAUAGUUUAGUUGUUUAUGUAAGAAAUGAUACAUUUAAUAAUAUUGAUAAUGAGUCUAUUACAUAACAUUUUCAAAACAUGAAAAAAUGUGUUGAGAACACUUAUGAAUGUAUUAGCAAAUAUUUUAUAUAUUCAAAGUUUUAAUUUUUAAAAUUUACUAUUAUCUAAUUUGGCCCCUAGUAAAUUUUUUUUCUGGAUACGCCACUACUUCUAAUGUUAUGAAUCUUUUGUUCUUUCCCAUCUACGAUAAUAGUUUCAUAUUGGAUAACAUCUUUUAGGUUUUGGUUAUGUUGGUUAAAGAUUUUUUGCAAUGAAAAUAUUUAGAUCACGUUUCUCAUACAACAUGUAGAAUUACUAUAAUUUAGAAAUCAUACCAUUACUUUUUGAUAAAAGUAAAUUAGGUUUUCAAGUCACGAUCUGUCACCAUGAAUCUUAUUAGAUCACAAUCCGCCAUCAUGAAUAGUACCUUUAUCAUUGUUGAAAGUAACUAGCAAGAGAAAACUAGUUUUUCUCUCAAAGUUAGAGAGAAAAAAUUUCUAAUCCUCUAUUUUGCAUAUUGUGGCUCUUGUAUUUCUUUUGGAAAAUAAGCAUUUUUAUAUAUCUUUUUGGUGGAAAUUUUAGGCCUUUAAAGAUUAGAUAAAGCCUAAAGUAACGCAUCACUUGUGCUUGCUAUAAGGACCCACCUUGUAAAAUAAUACAAGGACCCUUAUACACAGACAUAUUAAAUAAAGCCUCCAACCAUUAGGCUUUUAACCCAAAUAAUACGUUAUCUUUCUUGUCAAUUAAAUGAGCUAACCCAUGGAUCAUAUGGACAUACAAUAAUAGCUACAAUAAUUAAGCAUAUAACUAAAUUAGCCUAAUUAUUUAAUUCCAAAUUCUACUUUACUAAAAGAUUGGAUUGACCUCUAUAAUUCUAUGCUAUCUAAGAUAGUAUUCUUGAAUAAUAGUUCGACCCAUGCUAUAUUGAUUUCUUUAUUGAACAAUCCUUUAUAACGCAUCACUAAUUAAACUGAUAUCCCAACUGUCCAAUUAAUUUAAUUAUAUCUUAUUCAUUGACACUUAUUUAUUUACUUUAACGAUCAUUUCCAACAUACUAAUUAUGUUGACACACUCUGACUAGAGAAUUUAACGAUUAAGUAUUAAAAACCCGUCAAGAGAUGUGUUAUACAAAUUCUAUAUUGUUAAUUUAUAAUCUCACUACUCAUAAUUGCUUCGCCCAAGAUAUUAGGUAAUCUUGACUGUAAAUCUAUGUCACGUCCAUUGGUAACUCGAAUGAAAUGGCAAUCACAAACAUAAAACUAUAAUUAACUCAAGAUUAAGAUUGCAAUAAAAUCAAUACGUAUGAGAUUUAAUAAUUUUGAGAGUCAUUUCAAGGUUAACUAAAUUUCAUAUGUGAUCUACGUCAAUGUAGUCAAACUACAUCAGUAAAUUCAUACAUGAUUAAGAUAAAUCAUUUAAUGAAUUUACUACAAUCUAAAUAAAAAUAGAGUACCCUACUCUAUUUAUCAACUGUGAACUCAAUUUAUUUAAUCUAAGAUAACUUAUAUUUAUGUUUUCUAUGAAUCUAUACAAUAAUCACAUAAGUAUAUAUAAUAUGAUUAAAUAGAUCUGAUUCAAAAUAUUUAUAUAAUUAAAAUAUCUAAAAAACAUCUCAAAUAAUCAGAAUAUGUAUUUUUAUAAAUAAAUUAAUAUACUUUAAAGUGUACAUAAUGCCAACAGGUUCUCUAUGUAAAAUGGUCUAGAAGUCCAUGUCAUAAUUAUUAGAACGGAACUUUAUUAUUGCGUAAUAGUUCAAUGUUGUUAUUAUCCAUAUAUAUCAACCUAUAUUUAUUCAAGUAAAAGUUUAGAUUUGCCCCACGGACUUGAAUGAGUGAGUUUUAAGCUGCUUUACUUAUUGAUCACCGAGGUCGAAUCUUGAGGGUUGUAGGGAGUUAAAAUAUUAAUUUGAAACUUUCUAAUUCCUCUAUUUGGGAAGAAAAAAAAAAGAAAAAGAAAAAUCUUUGAUUUAGAGAUAAUAAUCUUGAUCUCACCAAGAAUUAGAGAAAAUUUCCUCUUUUUCACCCUGAUAAUCAUCUUUUGAUACCGGCUUACCUAGUAUUUAACUGCAUUUUUUACGCAUGUUUACAUUAUUAGUCAUGUGUGAUACAUGCAGACUCCAGUUCUAUUUUUUAAUAACUAGUAAUCUCAUGUUUGAAGUUUUUGCUUAUAUAUGAUAAAACUAAAAUAUUCAUCCCAGACAAGAAUCCUGGAUAUUUAUACUCAACAACAGCAAGUCGUUGAUUGAUUCUCUAGGUUUGCAAUAGCGUAUAGCUAGCUCUCCACAUAACUCUUUGCUUCCUAGAAAUUUAUAUGUUAAUUUCCAGGAUUCAUCCUCGAAAUUUCUUGAUGUGACAUAGAAAUCAAAGACAAUCCUGCGUGUAUUGUGAUUAUUACUUUGUAAUCAAGUGACAUAUGAUCAUUCUAAUAAACUCCGUAAAAGUGAUUUCACAUGGCCCUGGAAAUUUAGUUGACAAGAUUAAAGAAACUUUAUGAGCUAGCUACUGUUAUGAUAUGAUAUGGUAUAAUCACAUCGUGUUUACAAUUUUUUUUUGUUUUUUUUUGUAUGGUUAUUUUUACCAUAUUUUAAAAAUUGUUUAGCUGUAUUUAUCUAAUGAGUUUAUCAAAGAUUUUAGAAAAUACAUUAAAAACAUGUUAAUCUGGUAAAUUUCAUAAAAAAUGAAAUAAAAUAUAUCAGAUGCCUGGUAUAAUUAUGACAAAAUUGAGUAAACUGAUCUUAUUAGUGCCUGAAAUUUUGAAAAUGUGGGUCUAUUUAAAUCUACUAAAAUACUCAUAGAGCUACCACUAAUUUAGAAAUUUUCUCUAUACUAGCUUAAAUAUAAAAAAUUAUAUUACAAUAAAAACUCUCCUGAUAUUUAUAAUAAGAAAUCGAUUGGGACCUCCUUAGUCAUUCUAUUAUGGCACAGCACGAAAUUCUACUCUCAUUUGACAUCGAAGGUGUUGGAGAAAAAUCAGUUUUUUAAAUAUUUAUAAAAACUUUUAGGAUCGCUCUCAUACAAUAUAUAAGAAUUUGUAAUAUAGAAAUCGUACCUUAAAAAUCCGAUUUAGCCUUUUCCGCUGAGGUGAUUUAGGCUCCUAGAUCAUGAUUCGUCAUCACCACUCCUAUUAGAUCACGAUCCGCCACCAAAUAAUCUUCCAGGCUAUGACUUAAGUUUGAUCUGCACUUGAGGUGUGGGCGCCUUUAUCACCACUAAAACAACUAGCACGAGAAAAUCUUUCUCUCAACAAUAGAGAUAAAAAUCUUUUUCGUUGAUCUGUAUAAAGUGGUUGCUCUGUUUCUUUUAGGAGAAAAUAAGCCCCUUUAUAUUUCUAUCUAGUGGAAACCAUAGGCUCCAUUUUUUUAUAUUAUUUAAUUCUAUUAAAUAAAGUUUGAUUUAAAUUAAAAAUAAUAAACCAAAAGUAACAUUACUUCUUUCUUGUUAUAGGGGCCCACCUUAUAAAAUAACACAAGGCCCCUUAGACACAAGUACAUUACAUGGAGCUUCCUACUAAAUAAUAUAUUUAGGCUUUUAACCCAAAUAGUUAGUUAUCUUGCUUAUUAAUUCAGUAGUGGCGCAGUCAAUUAAAUGAGCUAAUCCAGUGAUCAUUUGUGAACAUACAAUAGUGGCUAAAAUAGUUAGGCAUGUAAUUAAACUAGCCCAAUUAUUUAAUUCCAAAUCUACUCCACUAAAAGAUUGGAACUGACCUUCAUAAUUGUAUGCUUGAAUAAUAAUUCGUCACAAGCCACAUUAAUUUCUUUACUGCAUAAUCCUUUGUACCACGUCGUUAAUUAAAUCGAUAUCUCAAAUGUCCAAUCGAUUUAAUUACAUCUUAUUCCUUGAUACUUACUACUUUUCUCUAAUGAUCAUUUCAACAUACUAAAUAUAUUGACACACUCUGGCCAGAGAAUUCUAUAAUCAAAUGCCGAAAACCCAUCAAGAGAUGUGUUGUACAAAUUCUAUAUUGUUAAUCUAUAACUCCAAUACUCAUAAUUGCUCCCACCAAGAUAUCGGGUAAUCUUGACCACAAGUGUGUAUCGUAUCCAUUGGUAACUCAAAUGGAAUAACAAUUACAAUCAUAAAAUUAUAACUAACUCAAGAUUAAGAUUACAGUAAAAUCAAUGCUUAUGAGAUUUAAUAAGUCUGACAGUCAUUUCAAGGUUAAUUAAAUCUCAUAUGUGAUCCAGGUCAAUGUAGUCAAACUACAUCAGUAAAUUCAUACAUGAUUAAGACGAAUCAUUCAAUAAAUUUACUACAGUCUAAACAUAAAUAGAGCGUCCGACUCUAUUUAUCAACUGUGAACUAAAUUUAUUUAUACAUAAAAUAACUUGUAUUUAUGUCUUCUGUGAAUUCAUAUGAUGAUAACAUAAAUACAUAUAAUAUGAUUAAAUGGACAUUUUUUAAUAUAUAUUUAUGCGAUUGAAAAUAUCUCAAAUAUUUUAUUAAUCAGAAAAUAAAUUAAUAUGCUUUAAAAGAGCAUAUAAUCCCAACAGAAGGAAUAUCUAUUUUACCCAAAACAAUGAAAAGAUAAAUUGAUC